UUUAUUGGAGAGUUUGAUCCUGGCUCAGGAUGAACGCUGGCGGCGUGCCUAAUACAUGCAAGUCGAGCGAAUGGAUUAAGAGCUUGCUCUUAUGAAGUUAGCGGCGGACGGGUGAGUAACACGUGGGUAACCUGCCCAUAAGACUGGGAUAACUCCGGGAAACCGGGGCUAAUACCGGAUAACAUUUUGAACCGCAUGGUUCGAAAUUGAAAGGCGGCUUCGGCUGUCACUUAUGGAUGGACCCGAGUCGCAUUAGCUAGUUGGUGAGGUAACGGCUCACCAAGGCAACGAUGCGUAGCCGACCUGAGAGGGUGAUCGGCCACACUGGGACUGAGACGCGGCGCAGACUCCUACGGGAGG
rnacentral:rRNA from 1 species